UUGAAAGGGAAACGAUUGAAGUCAGUCGUGCAGUCAUCAAAUCAGCGUUAACAUAGCUGAACUUAUCGGGUGGCGUGUGUUAAAACCGUCACCAGGUAAGUCCAGCUAUGCUAGCGCGUACUUUGGUGUCUGCUGGUUAGCAUCAAUUUUGAUUGUCAUAAAAAGGUUAAGGGGAUGUGGCUCCUUCGGGAGUGUUAUAACCCUUGGCGGAAUGUGACGAUUGGGAUUGAGGUUUGCAACGAAUACCUUUAGGGCAGUUCCUUCUGGUCUCUUGUUGACGUUCAGAUGGCGACAGCUUGCUGACGUUGUUUGAAUAGUUGGCGAAUAGAUUGGAAUGUGAAUUAAUUCGUUAAGGAUGUUGACGUA
rnacentral:rRNA from 1 species